rnacentral:rRNA from 1 species
UACAGAGGUCCCAAGCGUUGUUCGGAUUCAUUGGGCGUAAAGGGCUCGUAGGUGGCCAACUAAGUCAGACGUGAAAUCCCUCGGCUUAACCGGGGAACUGCGUCUGAUACUGGAUGGCUUGAGGUUGGGAGAGGGAUGCGGAAUUCCAGGUGUAGCGGUGAAAUGCGUAGAUAUCUGGAGGAACACCGGUGGCGAAGGCGGCAUCCUGGACCAAUUCUGACGCUGAGGAGCGAAAGCCAGGGGAGCAAACGGG